AUAAGUUAUAAAUACAAUUUUGUGUUUCUCUUCACACUGGAAUUGGAAUUUAAACGCAUUUUUGAAAGAUGAAAAGGAGAUCCUGAUUUGUUUAAAGUUUUCCAGUUUCUUAAUAAAGUGAUCAGCUCAGCUGCAAAUUCCAGGAAACAUCCCAGAACAUCCCUCCUCCCACGGCUCACUGCCUGACCUUCUGGAGCAGCAUAAAGAAAAUUGACAUUUCUUGCAAUGGUUUCAGAACUUCCCUACACACACACACACACACACACACACACACACACACACACACACAUCCCUUCAGGACUCCCAUGUUCACUUCCAAGACUCUAAAAGGAAGGCCCCCUUCCCUAUGUCGCCCAUUCCCAGCAUGAAGAAGCUAGAGACUUCGCCGGCCCAAUUCAUUUCUUCCUUUUGGAGUCUUAUGGAAAAUAAAAAACCCCCAAGACAGUGUGGCCUGGGAAAGGGAAUGAAAAAGAAAGCCAUGCAUUGAUAGCUUUCAUCUCUUCCAAGAUAAAUCCUUUUCAGAUGCUAGCCACGUGCAGGGAGAAAGUGUUUCAUCAAACCUAGAAUGAUAGUCUCUAGGAAACACUUAUCUCUUCUAAAAUAAAUCCUCUUCAGGUGCUGGCCAUGACUCCCAACUCCAAAAUCCAAAUUCUAGAGUGCCCAGACUGACAUGUUCAUUAAAUCACCCUCAAUCUACAUAAGCCCAGCCCCCUGCUUUAUCCAGUGACUCAUUUUCCAUCAGGAAAAUGGGUCCAUUCCCAUAGGUGUAGUCUUAUUCCUGAAUAAAAGGCUGAAAUGAUCCAUGA